CCUGUGCCACACAACACGCCACUGCUCCAUGAGAACAGGAGACAGACUAGAGCUGGCACAGCAAGAUAAGGAGGAGAAGCAAACAGAUUCCCGGGUUAUUUUCUUGAGGAUAAAUGACCGUGCUUGAUAGGUACAGUUUGAGAAGUAUCAAGACAUGAAACAGAAAGCAGCGACUUUUAACCAAUCAACACCCAAUGGGAGAGCUGGCUAGGCAUAGACGACCUCAACACCAAAGCACUGAGUCAAUAGGUAAUGCUCCGUAAUGCUUUGCUUAUAGGCUUGGCUUCAUUUGAGCUGGUCUGGAGUAUUAGGCUAUAACAGCACUUCUUUGAAACUGGUAUCUUGUUCGCCACAAUUUCAGCUUCCAUAAAAGUUAGUGCCAGUUUAGUCACAAAGCCUCAAAAAUGUGAACUGUGUGUUCCCAACUCAGCAAUAUCAGUAACUCUGUGGAAACUCUGGAACAACGGCUCUGACAGGUGUGACCUAACCAUUCAUCUCAGGAAAAUAUUGUCAAUGGAUACCUUCGUUAAAGUUGCCAUUUGAACUAAUUUCAUUGCUCCUGUAAGAACUGGGAGGAACACAGAUCUGUAGUUUACUGUGAGUGACAUCUCACUGUGCUAAAAAAAAUGGUGGCAUUUGAACUAUAUCACCACUUCUUUCCCCUUAAAUAAGAGGAACCAUGCCAAAGAAGCCCAAUGGAGCCUAGAAGCAUAUUCAAGUCCUAGCAAGGGGAAGCCAAAUAUAGUGGAGCUCAUAGAAUCUGCACAAUAAACUGUAAAAGAGCAGCUUACACAGUUUUCAGUGUUGUGCAGUUAGUGCUGCAGAAGCCAAGGAGUCUUGCCACAUGAUUUAAGACUGGAUUGCUACAGAGGACCUUGGAAAGAGGACAUGUAGGUGAGAGGUAAGACUUAAAAAAAAAACAAAAAAAAAGUUGAAAAUAUGAAUUGCCUAAUU